rnacentral:sRNA from 1 species
GCCAGGGGUGGCGCACUCCUGUCAUCCCAGCGACUGGGGAGGCUGAGGCAGGAGGAUCGCGAGUUCAAAGCCAGUCUCGGCAAAAGUGAGGCCGUGAGCAAUUCAGUGAGACCCUGUCUCUA